GGUGAACGCUGGCGGCGUGCCUAAUACAUGCAAGUCGAGCGAACGGACGAGAAGCUUGCUUCUCUGAUGUUAGCGGCGGACGGGUGAGUAACACGUGGAUAACCUACCUAUAAGACUGGGAUAACUUCGGGAAACCGGAGCUAAUACCGGAUGAUAUUUUGAACCGCAUGGUUCAAAAGUGAAAGACGGUCUUGCUGUCACUUAUAGAUGGAUCCGCGCUGCAUUAGCUAGUUGGUAAGGUAACGGCUUACCAAGGCAACGAUGCAUAGCCGACCUGAGAGGGUGAUCGGCCACACUGGAACUGAGACACGGUCCAGACUCCUACGGGAGGCAGCAGUAGGGAAUCUUCCGCAAAGGGCGAAAGCCUGACGGAGCAACGCCGCGUGAGUGAUGAAGGUCUUCGGAUCGUAAAACUCUGUUAUUAGGGAAGAACAUAUGUGUAAGUAACUGUGCACAUCUUGACGGUACCUAAUCAGAAAGCCACGGCUAACUACGUG
rnacentral:rRNA from 1 species